CCUACGGGAGGCAGCAGUGGGGAAUAUUGCGCAAUGGGGGAAACCCUGACGCAGCAACGCCGCGUGAGUGAGGAAGGACUUCGGUCUGUAAAGCUCUGUUAAUGUGGAAAAAUGGCAGUUGGUCUAAUAGGCCGAUUGUUUGAUGGUACACAUAGAGGAAGCACCGGCUAACUUCGUGCCAGCAGCCGCGGUAAUACGAAGGGUGCAAGCGUUGUUCGGAUUUAUUGGGCGUAAAGCGCGCGUAGGCGGACCUGCAAGUCAGAUGUGAAAUCUCGGGGCUCAACCUCGAAACUGCGUCUGAAACUACAGGUCUAGAAUCUCGGAGGGGGAAGGGGAAUUUCGCAUGUAGGGGUAAAAUCCGUAGAUAUGCGAAGGAACACCAGAGGCGAAGGCGCCUUCCUGGACGAGUAUUGACGCUGAGGCGCGAAAGCGUGGGGAUCAAACAGGAUUAGAUACCCUGGUAGUCCACGCUGUAAACUAUGAACACUAGGUAUUGGAGGAUUUGACCCCUUCAGUGCCGUAGCUAACGCGUUAAGUGUUCCGCCUGGGAAGUACGGUCGCAAGACUAAACUCAAAUGAAUUGACGG
rnacentral:rRNA from 1 species